UACGAAGGGAGCUAGCGUUACUCGGAAUUAUUGGGCGUAAAGCGUGCGUAGGCCGCUUUGCAAGUUGGAAGUGAAAGCCCAGGGCUCAACCUUGGAAUUGCUUUCAAAACUACAGAGCUAGAAUAUCAGAGAGGAUAGCGGAAUUACUAGUGUAGAGGUGAAAUUCGUAGAUAUUAGUAGGAACACCGGAGGCGAAAGCGGCUAUCUGGCUGAUUAUUGACGCUGUUGCACGAAAGC
rnacentral:rRNA from 1 species